rnacentral:rRNA from 1 species
AUUGAACGCUGGCGGCAUGCCUUACACAUGCAAGUCGAACGGUAACGGGCCUUCGGGUGCCGACGAGUGGCGAACGGGUGAGUAAUACAUCGGAACGUGCCCGAUCGUGGGGGAUAACGAGGCGAAAGCUUUGCUAAUACCGCAUACGAUCUACGGAUGAAAGCAGGGGACCGCAAGGCCUUGCGCGGACGGAGCGGCCGAUGGCAGAUUAGGUAGUUGGUGGGAUAAAAGCUCACCAAGCCGACGAUCUGUAGCUGGUCUGAGAGGAUGAUCAGCCACACUGGGACUGAGACACGGCCCAGACUCCUACGGGAGGCAGCAGCGGGGAAUUUUGGACAAUGGGCGCAAGCCUGAUCCAGCCAUGCCGCGUGCAGGAUGAAGGCCUUCGGGUUGUAAACUGCUUUUGUACGGAACGAAAAGCCUUCUUUUAAUACAGGAGGGUCAUGACGGUACCGUAAGAAUAAGCACCGGCUAACUACGUG